AACGAACGCUGGCGGCAGGCCUAACACAUGCAAGUCGAGCGAGGACUUCGGUCCUAGCGGCGGACGGGUGAGUAACGCGUGGGAACGUGCCCUUUGCUUCGGAAUAGCCCUGGGAAACUGGGAGUAAUACCGGAUGAGCCCUUUGGGGGAAAGAUUUAUCGGCGAAGGAUCGGCCCGCGUUGGAUUAGGUAGUUGGUGGGGUAAUGGCCUACCAAGCCGACGAUCCAUAGCUGGUUUGAGAGGAUGAUCAGCCACACUGGGACUGAGACACGGCCCAGACUCCUACGGGAGGCAGCAGUGGGGGAUCUUAGACAAUGGGGGAAACCCUGAUCGAGCCAUGCCGCGUGAGCGAUGAAGGCCUUAGGGUUGUAAAGCUCUUUCAGCUGGGAAGAUAAUGACGGUACCAGCAGAAGAAGCCCCGGCUAACUCCGUG
rnacentral:rRNA from 1 species